rnacentral:rRNA from 1 species
AUUCCAGCUCCAAUAGCGUAUAUUAAAGUUGUUGCAGUUAAAAAGCUCGUAGUUGGAUUUCUGGCAGGAGUGACUGACCACAAACUCUGUUUGUGAGUUGUGUCAUUCUGGCCAUCCUUGGUAAGAUCCUUUUUGGCAUUAAGUUGUCGGGAAGGGGAUGACCAUCGUUUACUGUGAAAAAAUUAGAGUGUUUAAAGCAGGCUUAUGCCGUUGAAUAUAUUAGCAUGGAAUAAUAAGAUAGGACUUUGAGUCUAUUUUGUUGGUUUGCGAGUCAAAGUAAUGAUUAAAAGGGACAGUCAGGGGCACUCGUAUUCCGCCGAGAGAGGUGAAAUUCUCAGACCAGCGGAAGACGAACCACUGCGAAAGCAUUUGCCAGGGAUGUUUUCAUCA